UACGUAGGGUCCGAGCGUUGUCCGGAAUUAUUGGGCGUAAAGGGCUCGUAGGCGGUUCGUCACGUCGGGAGUGAAAACUCGGAGCUUAACUCCGAGCCUGCUUCCGAUACGGGCAGACUAGAGGUAGGCAGGGGAGAGCGGAACUCCUGGUGUAGCGGUGGAAUGCGCAGAUAUCAGGAAGAACACCGGUGGCGAAGGCGGCUCUCUGGGCCUUACCUGACGCUGAGACGCGAAAGCGUGGGGAGCGAACCGG
rnacentral:rRNA from 1 species